rnacentral:lncRNA from 1 species
AGAGCUGGGAGGCGGUGUUCCGUGAGCCGCCUGGUCUGGGGUGCGGGGGGCGGGAAGCGGCCCCUUCGUGUGCGCUUGGGCGAGGCCGGGCGGCGCUUCUGUCCUCCUACUCGGACCCGCAGGUUUCUGGUCCUCAUACCGUGUGGUUGAGUGAAAUCAAAACUUCCACGAUAGCAAUGCUGAUUGGACAAAGAAUGUGUUGUGGACACAAAACCAAACUCUGGAGGACAGAGGAUUCAUUCCAAGGGUCUGCUUGUAUUCAAUGACUGGUCUACGUGGGGGUGUGAAGUCCCCUUACUCCACCUGUGAAGAGUCUUCCCAGUUUCAGACCACCCUCCCAGCCUCCUGUUAUUGGCUAAGGCCAUUUUGUGACUACACUGCAGGUUAGCUUUCCCCUUUGCCUAAUCGUCCUGCCUUUUCUUCUCACAAAUGUGAUUCCAUAGCUCUCUCCAAUAAACUUGCAUAAGAAUCCUCAUCUC